CCUACGGGAGGCAGCAGUGGGGAAUUUUGGACAAUGGGCGCAAGCCUGAUCCAGCAAUGCCGCGUGCAGGAUGAAGGCCUUCGGGUUGUAAACUGCUUUUGUACGGAACGAAACGGUGAGCUCUAAUACAGUUUGCUAAUGACGGUACCGUAAGAAUAAGCACCGGCUAACUACGUGCCAGCAGCCGCGGUAAUACGUAGGGUGCGAGCGUUAAUCGGAAUUACUGGGCGUAAAGCGUGCGCAGGCGGUGAUGUAAGACAGAUGUGAAAUGCCCGGGCUCAACCUGGGACCAGCAUUGUGACUGCAUCGCUAGAGUACGGUAGAGGGGGAUGGAAUUCCGCGUGUAGCAGUGAAAUGCGUAGAUAUGCGGAGGAACACCGAUGGCGAAGGCAAUCCCCUGGACCUGUACUGACGCUCAUGCACGAAAGCGUGGGGAGCAAACAGGAUUAGAUACCCUGGUAGUCCACGCCCUAAACGAUGUCAACUGGUUGUUGGGUCUUCACUGACUCAGUAACGAAGCUAACGCGUGAAGUUGACCGCCUGGGGGAGGUACGGCCGCGAGUAGUAACGUACGAAAGAAGUUAGACGGACGUUAGAGACGNGCCGACGGACGACGACGAGGGAGGAGGG
rnacentral:rRNA from 1 species